AUUCGCUGUAGCCGAGUAGAGUUUCUUCUUCGGUGGUGUUAAACAUGUCAGCUGGAGAAUGACAACAUCGACCGACACGGCCUCUCUUUAACAACUGGACUGCAGAACACGGACACAACAGGAAGCCGAGUGCUUGUUUGGAGUCUGCAUGAGCCCGUGGGAGCAUCGUCAUCAUCAUCAUGGCAGAUGACAAAGAUGUGUUGAGAGACGUCUGGUUCGGAAGGAUCCCGACCUGCUUCACUCUCAACCAGGAUGAAGUCACCGAGAGGGAGGCGGAGCCUUAUUACCUGCUGCUGCCCAGGGUGAGCUACCUGACGCUGGUCACCGACAAGGUGAAGAAGCACUUCCUCAAAGUGAUGAAGGCCGAGGAUGUUGAGGAGAUGUGGUUUGAAUACGAAGGGACGCCGCUCAAAUGGCACUAUCCAAUAGGAGUUCUGUUUGACCUCCAUGCCGCCAACUCUGUCUUGCCAUGGGGCAUCACUGUGCACUUUAAGAACUUUCCAGGUGAUGACCUGCUGCACUGCUCGUCCAGCUCCGUGGUGGAGGCUCACUUCAUGUCCAGCAUCAAGGAGGCCGACGCACUUAAGCACAAGAGCCAAGUCGUCAACGACAUGCAGAAGAAGGACCACAAGCAGCUGUGGAUGGGCCUACAGAAUGAUAAAUUUGAGCAGUUCUGGGCGAUGAACCGGAAGCUGAUGGAGUAUCCCACUGAGGAGGGAGGAUUCCGAUACAUCCCAUUCAGGAUAUAUCAGACGACAAGCGACCGGCCCUUCAUCCAGAAACUGUUCCGUCCCAUUUCCCCUGAAGGCAACGCUCACACGUUCUGUGACCUGCUGAAAGAGAUGUACGCCGCUGCGAUACCUGUUCACGAGAGAUGAAGCAGCCAAUGACUGGAGGAAGAUGAUGAUGAUGGCGGCUGACAAGCCUUGAUCUUCCUUUGAUUGAGUGAGUGCUCAUUAAGAGGUUAAAUGGGGCCCGUUGUUCGAGCGCCAUGCUGAUUAGGCCGGACGGGUCGGGGCUGGUGGGCACCUGCCACAAUGGGCCCGGGACUCAUCCAUCAGCGCUGACCCGGCCGCCGCCGAGCCCCCCCGGACAGAGCGCACGCCCCCAGGGGUGCCCUGGAUGCUCCUCCACCCAGGAACUGACCGACGCUCUUAACACCCCGCCCCUGCUAGCUGACCCCCACGCGGGCGCCAGGAUUAACCACACUGGCCUCUUCUUCUUCGCGGGCCCGGCCCGCGUUCUGACCCUUCCAAGUGACCCAAAUGUGGAGAAAUGUUGCUGGCAUUGCUUUUUUUUGUUUUAACAAUGAGGUCACAUGACUGAGUGAGCCAAACUCCUUCACAGUCCAAAAUGAAGGACGGAACUUUGAACACAACACGUUAUAGAUUCUUUACCAAAGUCGUGUAAAAUGAACACCACAACCCUCAACAUAGACGGAAAAAAAAAGAAAAAAAGCCAUCUAACAGUGUGGAGGUAAAUACAAGUUCUUGUAAGGACUGGAAGAACACCUGAUGGGGAAUAUUUUAUUCAUAAAAAAUAGAUUUAAAAACUGAUCCUGAAACACUUUCUAGCACCAAAAAGAUAACUGGGCCAAAAAGAACCAUGUAGGAGAAAAAAGACCCAUAAAGAAGUGAGAAGAACCAUUAAGAAGUAAGAAGAACCAUAAAGAAGUAAGAAGAACCACAAUUAGUAAGAAGAACCAUAAAGAAGUAAGAAGAACCAUAAAGAAGUAAGAAGAACCAAAAUUAGUAAGAAGAACCAUAAAGAACUAAGAAUAACCAUAAAGAAGCAAGAAGAAUGAAAAAGGAGUAAAAACAACCAUAAAGAAGCAAGAAGAACCAUAAAGAAGGAAGAAGAACCAAAAAGUAGUAAAAAGAACCAUAAAGAAGCAAGAAAAACCAAACGUACUAAAAAGAACCAUAAAGAAGCAAGGCGAACCAAAAAGUAGUAAGAAGAACUCUACAGAAGCAAGAAGAACCAUAAUGAAACAACAAGAAUCAAAAAGUAGUAAGAAGAACCAUGAAGAAGCAAGAAGAACCAAAAAGUAGUAAGAAGAACCAUAGAGAAGCAAGAAUAACCAAAAAGUAGUAGUAAGAAGAAUAAAUAAGCAAGGAGAACCAAAAAGUAGUAAGAUGUAAUAUAAUGAAGCAACAAAAACAAAAAAGUAAGACAAACCACGAAGAAGCAAGAAGAACCAAAAAGUAGUAAGAAGAACCAUAAAGAAGCAAGAAAACAACAAGUAGUAAGAACAAUAACGAAGCAAGGAGAACCACAAAGUAGUAAGAAGAACCGUAAAAAAGAAAGAAGAACCAAAAAGUAGUUAGAAGAACCAUAAGGAAGCAAGAAGUACCAUAAAGAAGGAAGAAGAACCAUAAAGAAACAAGAAGAACCAUAAAGACGCAAGAAGAACCAUAAAGAAGCAAGAAGAACAAAAAAGUAGUGAAAAGAACCAUAAAGAAGCAAGAAGAACCAAAAAGUAGUAAGAAGAACCAUAAAUAAGCAAGAAGAACAAUAAAGAAGGAAGAACAACCAUAAAGAAACAAGAACAACCAUAAAGAAGCAUGAAGAACCAUAAGGAAGUAAGAAGAACCAAAAAGUUGGAAGAAGAACAAUAAAGAAGCAAGGAGAACCAAAAAGUAGUAAGAAUAAACAUAAAAAAGUGAGAAGAACAAACAAGUAGUAAGAAGAACCAUAAAAAAGCAAGAAGAACCAAAAAGUAGUAGGAAGAACCAUAAAGAAGCAAGAAGAACUAUAAAGAAACAAGAAGAACCACAAAGAAGCAAGAAGAACACAAAGUAGUAAGAAGAACCAUAAAGAAGCAAGAAGAACCAUAAAAAAACAAGAGGAACCAUAAAGAAGCAAGAAGAACCAAAAAGUAGUAAGAAGAACCAUAAAGAAGCAAGAAAACCAAAAAGUAGUAAGAAGAACCAUAAAGAAACAAAAAGAACCAUAAAGAAGCAAGAAGAACCAUAAAUAAGCAAGAAGAACCAUAAAGAAGCACAUAUAACCAUAGAAGAGCAAAACAAACCAUCAAGGAACAAGAACAAAAUAUAGGAGUAAGAAGAACCAAAAAAGUGUCAGAAAAUAAUAAGGAGCAAAGUCCAAACAAAAGCAUGAGGGAGCAAAAAGAAGAAUAUAAGAGCAAAGAGAACCAUAAAGAACAAAUAACAACCAUGAAGGACCAAGUAAACCCAUAAAGAAGCAAAAAGAACCAUAAAGUAGCAAGACAAUCAUGGAAAAGUCAGAGGAACCAUGAAGGAGCAAACAAGUAUUAAAGUAACAUGAAGGAACAAGAAAAACUAUGAAGGAACAAGAAGAACUAUGAAGGAACAAGAAGGACCAUGAAGGAAGAAUAAGAACUAUGAAGAAACAAGAAGAAACAUGAAGGAACAAAAAAAAAACUAUGAAGGAACAAGAAGAACUAUGAAGAAACACGAAGAACCAUGAAGGAACAAAAAGAACUAUGGAAGAACAAGAAGGACCAUGAAGGAACAGGAACAUCCAUGAAAGAACAAGAAGGACUAUAUAGAAACAAGAAAGAUCAUGAUGGAACAUGUAGAACUACGAAAAAACAAGAAGAACCUUGAAGGAACAAGAAGGACUAUGAAGAAACAAGAAGAACUAUGAAGGAACAAUAUGAACCAUGAAGGAACAAGAAGGACUAUGAAGAAACAAAAAGAACCAUUACUGGACAAGAAGGACUAUGAAGAAACAAGAAGAACCAUUAAGGGACAAGAAGGACUAUGAAGAAACAAGAAGAACCAUUAAGGGACAAAAAGGACUAUGAAGAAACAAGAAGAACCAUGAAGGGAAAAAAAUAACUAUAAAGAAACAAGAAUAACCAUGAAGGAAAAAGAUGGACUAUAUAGAAACAAGAAAGAUCAUGACGGAACAUGUAGAACUAUGAAAAAACAAGAAGAACCUUGAAGGAACAAAAAUAACUAUGAAGAAACAAUACGAACCAUGGAGGAACAAGAAGGACUAUGAAGAAACAAGAAGAACCACAAAGGUACAAGAAGGACUAUGAAGAAACAAGAAGAACCACAAAGGUACAAGAAGGACCAUGAAGAAACAAGAAGGACUAUGAAGAAACAAGAAGAACCAUGAAGGAACAAGAAGAACCAUGAAGAAACAAGAAGAACUAUGAAGAAACAAGAAAAACCAUAAAGGAACAAAUAUAACUAUGAAGGAACAAGCAGAAAUAUGAAGACACAUGAAGAACCAUGAAGGAACAAGAAGAUCCAUAAAGGAACAAGAAGAUCCAUAAAGGAACAAGAAUAACAAUUAAGGAACAAGAAGAACCAUGAAGGAACAACAAUAACUAUGAACAAGCAAGAAGAACCAUGACAGAACAAGAAGGACCAUGACGGAACAAGAAGAACCAUGAAGGAACAACAAGAACCAUUAAGGAACAAGAAGAACCAUGAAGGAACAAGAAGAACCAUGAAGGAACAAGAAGAACCAUGAAGGAACAAGAAUAACUUUGAAGGAACAAGAAGAACCACGAAGGAACAAGAAUAACUAUGAAGGAACAAGAACAACCAUGAAGGAACAAGAAGAACUAUGAAGGAACAAGAAGAACCAUGAAGGAACAAGAAGAACUAUGAAGGAACAAGAAGAACCAUGAAGGAACAAGAAGGAUUAUGAAGAAACAAGAAGAACCAUGAAGGAACAAGAAGGACCACGAAGGAACAAGAAGGAUUCAUGAAGGAACAAGAAGAACCAUGAAGGAACCAGAAUAACUUUGAAGGAACAAGAAGAACCAUGAAGGAACAAGUAUAACUAUGAAGGAACAAGAAGAACCAUGAAGGAACAAGAAGAACUAUGAAUGAACAAGAAGAACCAUGAAGGAACAAGAAGAACCAUGAAGGAACAAGAAGAACCAUGAAGGAACAAGAAGAACCAUGAAGGAACAAGAAGGAUUAUGAAGGAACAAGAAGAACCAUGAAGGAACAAAAAGGACCACGAAGGAACAAGAAGGAUUAUGAAAGAACAAGAAGAACCACGAAGGAACAAGAAAACCAUGAAGGAAGAAGAAGGAUUAUGAAGGAACAAGAAGAACCAUGAACGAACAAGAAGAACCAUGAAGGAACAAGAAGAACCAUGAUGGAACAAGAAGAACCAUGAAGGAACAAGAAGGACCGCGAAGGAACAAGAAGGAUUCAUGAAGGAACAAGAAGAACCAUGAAGGAACAAGAAUAACUUCGAAGGAACAAGAAGAACCAUGAAGGAACAAGAAGGAUUAUGAAGGAACAAGAAGAACCAUGAAGGAACAAGAAGGACCAAGAAGGAACAAGAAGGAUUCAUGAAGGAACAAGAAGAACCAUGAAGGAACAAGAAUAACUUUGAAGGAACAAGAAGAACCAUGAAGGAACAAGAAUAACUAUGAAGGAACAAGAAGAACCAUGAAGGAACAAGAAGAACCAUGAAGAAACAAGAAGAACCAUGAAGGAACAAGAAGGAUUAUGAAGGAACAAGAAGAACCAUGAAGGAACAAAAAGGACCACGAAGGAACAAGAAGGAUUAUGAAGGAACAAGAAGAACCACGAAGGAACAAGAAACCAUGAAGGAAGAAGAAGGAUUAUGAAGGAACAAGAAGAACCAUGAAGGAAAAAGAAGAACCAUGAAGGAACAAGAAGAACCAUGAUGGAACAAGAAGAACCAUGAAGGAACAAGAAGGACCGCGAAGGAACAAGAAGGAUUCAUGAAGGAACAAGAAGAACCAUGAAGGAACAAGAAUAACUUUGAAAGAACAAGAAGAACCAUGAAGGAACGAGAAUAAAUAUGAAGGAACAAGAAGAACCAUGAAGGAACAAGAAGGAUUCAUGAAGGAACAAGAAGAACCAUGAAGGAACAAGAAUAACUUUGAAGGAACAAGAAGAACCAUGAAGGAACACGAAUAACUAUGAAGGAACAAGAAGAACCAUGAAGGACCAAGAAGAACUAUGAAGGAACAAGAAGAACCAUGAAGGAACAAGAAGAACCAUGAAGGAACAAGAAGGACCGCGAAGGAACAAGAAGGAUUCAUGAAGGAACAAGAAGAACCAUGAAGGAACAAGAAUAACUUCGAAGGAACAAGAAGAACCAUGAAGGAACAAGAAGGAUUAUGAAGGAGCAAGAAGAACCAUGAAGGAACAAGAAGGACCACGAAGGAACAAGAAGGAUUCAUGAAGGAACAAGAAGAACCAUGAAGGAACAAGAAUAACUUUGAAGGAACAAGAAGAACCAUGAAGGAACAAGAAUAACUAUGAAGGAACAAGAAGAACCAUGAAGGAACAAGAAGAACCAUGAAGAAACAAGAAGAACCAUGAAGGAACAAGAAGGAUUAUGAAGGAACAAGAAGAACCAUGAAGGAACAAAAAGGACCACGAAGGAACAAGAAGGAUUAUGAAGGAACAAGAAGAACCACGAAGGAACAAGAAAACCAUGAAGGAAGAAGAAGGAUUAUGAAGGAACAAGAAGAACCAUGAAGGAACAAGAAGAACCAUGAAGGAACAAGAAGAACCAUGAUGGAACAAGAAGAACCAUGAAGGAACAAGAAGGACCGCGAAGGAACAAGAAGGAUUCAUGAAGGAACAAGAAGAACCAUGAAGGAACAAGAAUAACUUUGAAAGAACAAGAAGAACCAUGAAGGAACGAGAAUAACUAUGAAGGAACAAGAAGAACCAUGAAGGAACAAGAAGGAUUCAUGAAGGAACAAGAAGAACCAUGAAGGAACAAGAAUAACUUUGAAGGAACAAUAAGAACCAUGAAGGAACACGAAUAACUAUGAAGGAACAAGAAGAACCAUGAAGGACCAAGAAGAACUAUGAAGGAACAAGAAGAACCAUGAAGGAACAAGAAGAACCAUGAAGGAACAAGAAGGACCACGAAGGAAGAAGAAAAACCAUGUAGGAACAAGUAGAUUUAUGAAGGAACAAGAAGAACCAUGAAGGAACAAGAAGAACUAUGAAGGAACAAGAAGGAUUAUGAAGGAACAAGAAGAACCAUGAAGGAACAAGAAGGAUUAUGAAGGAACAAGAAGAACCACGAAGGAAGAAGAAAAACCAUGUAGGAACAAGAAUAUUUAUAAAGGAACAAGAAGAACCAUGAAGGAACAAGAAGAACCAUGAAGGAACAAGAAGAAC